rfam:Nicotiana attenuata strain TT chromosome 6, whole genome shotgun sequence.
UGGACAGAUUAUUGUAUUCAACUGUAUUCGACUGUAUUCACGGCGUGAAACAGGGGAUUACGUUGUUUUUAAAACGGAAAGUGAAUCAAUUAACAUAAUAGACUCCU